GCCGGGCACAGUGGUGUGUGCCUGUAGUCCCAGCUACUCAGGAGGCUGAGGCUGGAGGAUCUCUUGAGCCCAGGAGUUCUGGGCUGUAGUGCGCUAUGCCAAUCGGGUGUCUGCACUAAGUUCGGCAUCAACAUGGUGACCUCCUGGGAGCGGGGAACCACCAGGUUGCCUAAGGAGGGGUGAACCCGCCCAGGUCGGAAACGGAGCAGGUCAAAACUCCCUUGCUGAUCAGUAGUGGGAUCGUGCCUGUGAAUAGCCACUGCACUCCACUGCACUCCAGCCUGGGCAACACAGCGAGACCCUGUCUCU
rnacentral:SRP_RNA from 1 species